rnacentral:tRNA from 1 species
AAUUUUGUGGCUGGUUUAUUCAGUUAUUUAUUAGAAGUUGAUAUGGAAUUAAACAAAAUUU